AGGGAGAGAGAGAGAGAGAGAGAUUUGCAUGAGUCUGCCACUAGUUGGACUGCAGCCAAGACAGCUACAGCAAGCUUCAGAGAAACUCAGAAAGCUAAAUGACAUGUCUGAAGUCAAACAGCUGCUCAGAGGCGUUUGGAUUCGUGAACUGGGACUCGAAUCCAGCCUGGAAAGAACUCCAGGACAGGAACAUGGGGGAAGUUAGGGGGCUAAGGGUGCGUCCAGGUCAAAGGAAAAGAAAGUGAUGUGGAAAGCUGUUGUACUGUCAGAAAAUCAAAGCAAGUCAAAGAAAGGACCAG